rnacentral:lncRNA from 1 species
GUAUGGUGUGAGAUAGGUGUCCAGCUUCAUUCUUUCACAAAAAUUAACUCAAAAUGGAUAGACCUACAUGCAAGAGCUAAAACUAUAAAACAGAAGAAAAUACUGGGGGUAAAUCUUCAUAAUCUUCAAUUUUGCAAUGGUCUCUUGGAUAUGACACCAAAAGCACAAGCAACAAAAUGAAAUAGAUAAACUGGACCCCAUCAAAAUUAAAAUUAUUGUGCUGCAACUGAUACCAUCAAUAAAGUGAAAAAACAAUUCCUGGAAUGGGAGAAAAUAUUUGUAAUUAAUUUAUUUUAUAGUGGCUUUAUGUCUAUUAUAUAUACAGAACUCCUGAAACUGUAAUAAAUGAGAUAACCCAUUUCAAAAUGGGCAAAGAACUGGAAUAGAUAAUUUUCCAAAGAAAUACAAGUGGCCAAGAAGUACAUAAAAAAAUGCUCAACAUCAUUAGUCAGAAUGUAAACACAUCAAAAUCACGAGAUACUUCAAACCCACUAGGAUGGCUAUAAAAAAGACAUACAAUAACAAGUGUAAGAUUGCCAUAUACAUGAUUCACUCAUUAUCAGCCACUACUGAACUGCCAGCUUAGGAAGUUAGGAAGCUCUGAGUUAUAAUACUACUCCCACCAAUGAUAGCUCCACAUUAUUAAAUCUAAAGAACUUUUUUAAAUGGCCAGUUCCACCCUCCAGAUUCUGGCCCAGCUAUCUGCAUGCACUGACGGUUGAUUCUACUCAGCCAUAGUCAAGAAUCACAGCACCCGGCUUGAAAAAAAAAACAAAAAACCUAUUCUGCAGUAGCGUAUCACUCUACUUUCCUCAGUUUUGAGUAAAAUAUUCACUGGGGAGAAAAAAGCAAACCUUACGUCUACUGAUACCUACCCCUCUCCUGCCCCAUGCACCCUGUAAUUUCUCUCCAACCACCUUAAGGGCCUUUUUUUUUUUUUUUUUUUUUUUAAAGAUAGGGUCCUGCCAUGUUGCCCAGGCUUGACUUGAACUCCUAGGUCAAGUGAUCCUCCCAUCUCAGCCUCCUGAGUAGCUGCGACUACAGGAACCAGCCACCACACACCCAUGUCCACCCACCUUAGGGUUAAUCUUUGUUACUAGCCCUCACUACUCAGAAUUGGUGAGACCUCUCCAUUUCUGCUUCACUCAGCUUACGUGGUUUGCUCACACUGACACCAACAAACACCUGUCAAUCCCUAUGUCCCUCCUGUCUUCCAAAAAUACCUAGAAAUUGCUGCUCUAUUGACGGUAGUAUUUCUUGUUUUCUAGUGUUGCUAUUAUUUGUCUAUUGUACUUGGUUUUGCAUUUUAGUCACCUGAAUGAUAUCUGGAAGAAGGCGGUUUCACCAUUUCAAAUCUUUUUUUCACCAUUUUAUUGUCAUUCAGGUUACUACAAAUGGUAAGUAGAAGCUCUGCAAAAGUAAAAACUGAGUGGGAGGAAAUCAUUUUGGGAAAAUAUUCUGAACUAUUUCAGUCCAAUUAAUAUUUGAUACUAAGCUUCUACAGCAUCAGAUGUUACUUAUGUCAGCAUAAGGAGAAAAUUCCUAUACUUUAAAAAAGUUUCCAUUACCCCCAUCUAAAUAUUGCCUGAUAGUCACAGUAUAAAUUCAAGCUUGGAAAAACUACUGGCAUCACUAAGUAUCCCCUGACACCAAAGUUCCUGUUCAUCUUAGUUACACAACUACUGAUGACCUGUUCUGACUGGUGACUGAGAGGAAAAAAUAAAGAAAUGAGUAAGAUGGUCGGUAAUACUUCAACACUUCCCAGUGAUUAAUACAUUUGGACCCGUCGUCUCAUCACUUAAUCCUACCCAACAUUUAACGCAUGAAAUUUCCAGUAAAAAAAAAAACAGAACCUCAUAGAUGGGUCUAAUCAAAACUGCCCUUUCUAAAAAUAUGAAGGCUAGCAGUUGGUAACCUAUAUAAUAAAAGGUCACUGUGUCAAAACUAUGUACUCCUUUCCCUCUUCCCCCAUUGUAUACCUGAUUUGUGGGAAGGGGGAGACGAAAUGGGAUAAAUUUUAAAUUAAUACAGGCAAAAAAGAAUAAAGUCAGAGAUUUUCUUAGACAUCACAUAUGUAAAUCAGAAACCAAUAUAUAAAUGAUGCUUGGUGAUGAAAAAAUGUUUAGUUUAUUUAAAAUUCCUGUUUAGAGUCAACUUUA